AACGCUGGCGGCCGCGUUCACACAUGCAAGUCCAACGAUUGAAACCUAGCUUUGCUAGGUCGGAUUCAUCGGCGAAACGGGCGAGUAAUACGUCGAGUCGACCUACCUUUGACUCCGGGAUAAUCCUGGGAAAACUGGGUCUAAUACCGGAUACGACCAAUCUCCGCAUGGGGUCGUUCGGUGGAAAGCGUUAUGGAGUCGGUUUUUAGAUGGGCUCACGGCCUAUCAGCUUGUUGGUGAGGUAAUGGCUUACCAAGGCGACGACGGGUAGCCGGCCUGAGAGGGUGACCGGCCACACUGGGACUGAGACACGGCCCAGACUCCUACGGGAGGCAGCAGUGGGGAAUAUUGCACAAUGGGCGCAAGCCUGAUGCAGGGGACGCCGCGUGAGGGAUGACGGCCUUCGGGUUUGUAAACCUCUGUUUAGCAUCGAAGAAGCGAAAGUGACGGUAGGUGCAGAGAAAGCGCCGGCUAACUACGUGCCAGCAGCCGCGGUAAUACGUAGGGCGCGAGCGUUGUCCGGAAUUUAUUGGGCGUAAAGAGCUUGUAGGCGGUUGGUCGCGUCUGCCUGUGAAAGGCUGGGGCUUAACCCUGGUUUUGCAGUGGGUACGGGCUAACUAGAGUGCAGUAGGGGAGACUGGAAUUCCUGGUGUAGCGGUGGAAUGCGCAGAUAUCAGGAGGAACACCGAUGGCGAAGGCAGGUCUCUGGGCUGUAACUGACGCUGAGAAGCGAAAGCAUGGGGAGCGAACAGGAUUAGAUACCCUGGUAGUCCAUGCCGUAAACGUUGGGCACUAGGUGUGGGGGACACUCCACGUUUUCCGCGCCGUAGCUAACGCAUUAAGUGCCCCGCCAGGGGAGUACGGCCGCAAGGCUAAAACUCAAAGAAAUUGACGGGGGCCCGCACAAGCGGCGGAGCAUGCGGAUUAAUUCGAUGCAACGCGAAGAACCUUACCAAGGCUUGACAUAUACUGGACUGCGUCAGAGAUGGCGUUUCCCUUCGGGGCUGGUAUACAGGUGGUGCAUGGUUGUCGUCAGCUCGUGUCGUGAGAUGUUGGGUUAAGUCCCGCAACGAGCGCAACCCUCGUUCUAUGUUGCCAGCACGUGAUGGUGGGGACUCAUAGGAGACUGCCGGGGUCAACUCGGAGGAAGGUGGGGAUGACGUCAAAUCAUCAUGCCCCUUAUGUCUUGGGCUUCACGCAUGCUACAAUGGCCGGUACAGAGGGUUGCGAUACUGUGAGGUGGAGCUAAUCCCUAAAAGCCGGUCUCAGUUCGGAUUGGGGUCUGCAAACUCGACCCCAUGAAGUCGGAGUCGCUAGUAAUCGCAGAAUCAGCAACGCUGCGGUGAAUACGUUCCCGGGCCCUUGCACACACCGCCCGUCA
rnacentral:rRNA from 1 species